CAAUUUCAAGAUCAAAGUCUU
rnacentral:piRNA from 1 species